rnacentral:rRNA from 1 species
UGAGCAACCUGCCCUAGCUCUGGGAUAACCCCGGGAAACCGGGGCUAAUACCGGAUACGAGUCCGAGCGGCAUCACACGGACUGGAAAGUUUUUCGGCUAAGGAUGGGCUCGCGGCCUAUCAGCUUGUUGGUGAGGUAAUGGCUCACCAAGGCGACGACGGGUAGCCGGCCUGAGAGGGUGACCGGCCACACUGGGACUGAGACACGGCCCAGACUCCUACGGGAGGCA